rnacentral:rRNA from 1 species
UACGAAGGGUGCAAGCGUUACUCGGAAUUACUGGGCGUAAAGGGUGCGUAGGUGGUUCUUUAAGUCUGUUGUGAAAGCCCCGGGCUCAACCUGGGAAUGGCAGUGGAUACUGGAGAGCUAGAGUGCGGUAGAGGGUAGUGGAAUUCCCGGUGUAGCAGUGAAAUGCGUAGAGAUCGGGAGGAACACCAGUGGCGAAGGCGGCUACCUGGACCAGCACUGACACUGAAGCACGAAAGCGUGGGGAGCAAACAGG